rnacentral:rRNA from 1 species
ACGAACGCUGGCGGCGUGCCUAAUACAUGCAAGUCGAGCGGAACCAGUGGAGCUUGCUCCACUUGGUUUAGCGGCGGACGGGUGAGUAACACGUGGGCAACCUGCCCUGCAGAUCGGGAUAACUCCGGGAAACCGGUGCUAAUACCGAAUAGUUUGCGGCCUCUCCUGAGGCUGCACGGAAAGACGGUUUCGGCUGUCACUGCAGGAUGGGCCCGCGGCGCAUUAGCUAGUUGGUGGGGUAAUGGCCCACCAAGGCGACGAUGCGUAGCCGACCUGAGAGGGUGAUCGGCCACACUGGGACUGAGACACGGCCCAGACUCCUACGGGAGGCAGCAGUAGGGAAUCUUCCGCAAUGGACGAAAGUCUGACGGAGCAACGCCGCGUGAGUGACGAAGGUUUUCGGAUCGUAAAACUCUGUUGUGAGGGAAGAACACGUGCCAAGUAACUACUGGCAUUUUGACGGUACCUCACCAGAAAGCCACGGCUAACUACGUGCC